rnacentral:lncRNA from 11 species
GAUCUAUUACAUCAGAUGAACUAGUUCCUGAAAACCUGCAGUAUGCUUUCCUCUGCUUAAUCCACACAACUAAUCUAUGAAGAAAGAGUUCUUGCCACAAGAAGAUAGGAAGCAUAGUCUGCAGUUUCCAGAUGAUUAGUAUGGCACGUAUGGGAGUCUGUCUAAUAAAGCACACUGGCAAAACAAAGUCCCAUGGAGGCCAUCCCAUGAUGCACAGCCAGUUCUGGUGGCCACCCCUGGAAAUCCGUUUUGCCACCAUGCUAUAACAGAGUGAAGACCUUGUUUUGAGGAGUCAGGUAACACUCGACUCCUGAUUCAAGAAAGCGGAGGAAAGCAGGAAGGAAGAAGAUGGGGAAAAGCUGUGGAAUGACUGGCCUUCCCCAAAGAUGAACCUUGCCAGGAGGAAAGCGGGAAAAGAUGGGUCUGUACUCUUCCCAACACUUUCCUCCGCUUCCCUCUCAUAUGUCUGAUGAAGUCCUUAGACAAACUUCAUCAUAGCUUUUCAAGUACUUCUGUCAAAGUGAUUUUUCAAUAAAAGUAACAAGUUAACUAUAG